rnacentral:rRNA from 1 species
GACGAACGCUGGCGGCGUGCUUAACACAUGCAAGUCGAACGGAAAGGCCCCGCUUUUGUGGGGUGCUCGAGUGGCGAACGGGUGAGUAACACGUGAGUAACCUGCCCUUGACUUUGGGAUAACUUCAGGAAACUGGGGCUAAUACCGGAUAGGAGCUCCUGCUGCAUGGUGGGGGUUGGAAAGUUUCGGCGGUUGGGGAUGGACUCGCGGCUUAUCAGCUUGUUGGUGGGGUAGUGGCUUACCAAGGCUUUGACGGGUAGCCGGCCUGAGAGGGUGACCGGCCACAUGGGGACUGGGAUCCGGCCCAGACUCCUACGGGGGGCAGCAGUGGGGAAUAUUGCACAAUGGGCGGAGGCCUGAUGCAGCAACGCCGCGUGCGGGAUGACGGCCUUCGGGUUGUAACCCGCUUUCGCCUGUGACGAAGCGUGAGUGACGGUAAUGGGUAAAGAAGCACCGGCUAACUACGU